AGAACGAACGCUGGCGGCAUGCCUAACACAUGCAAGUCGAACGAGACCUUCGGGUCUAGUGGCGCACGGGUGCGUAACGCGUGGGGAUCUGCCCUUAGGUACGGAAUAACUCAGGGAAACUUGAGCUAAUACCGUAUAAUGACUUCGGUCCAAAGAUUUAUCGCCUAGGGAUGAACCCGCGUAGGAUUAGCUUGUUGGUGAGGUAAAGGCUCACCAAGGCGACGAUCCUUAGCUGGUCUGAGAGGAUGAUCAGCCACACUGGGACUGAGACACGGCCCAGACUCCUACGGGAGGCAGCAGUGGGGAAUAUUGGACAAUGGGCGAAAGCCUGAUCCAGCAAUGCCGCGUGAGUGAUGAAGGCCUUAGGGUUGUAAAGCUCUUUUACCAGGGAUGAUAAUGACAGUACCUGGAGAAUAAGCUCCGGCUAACUCCGCGCCAGCAGCCGC
rnacentral:rRNA from 1 species